GUAUCCCUGGUAUUCUGAAUUUCAGAAUGUUGGUCUCUUCAUUCAUUUUGCUAGGCACUCAGUGGACCCUUUCCAUCUGGCAGUUCAUGUUCUUCAGUACUGGGAAGAUCAGUUAUUUCUUUGAUUUCCUCUUUCUGUAUUCUCUGUUCUCCUUUUCUGGAACAUAUAUUUGUGAUUUGUGUUUGUAAUUUUCUAUUUCUUUCUGCCCAUUUUCCCAUUUUCAAAAUUUUUGUUGUGUCUUCUGUAUCUUCAAAUUUAUCUUAUAACUUUUAUUUUUUGUUUAUACUAUAUAUUUUUAAUUUCUUCUUUCAUAAACGUAAUAUUUCCUGUCUCCUAAGCCAGUUAGUUACCACAUAUAGGCUCUAGACAACUAAUGACAGUACAAAAUAGGCUCUGAUUAGAUGUUGAAAUGUUUGGUACUGAUACUAAGUGCUAGGGGAUAAAAGGGUCUACAAAAACCACUAUCUGCCAGAAAAACUUGGAACAAUUUCAUGGAAGGGGUAAGAUAGGAUCUGGACUUGGAAUAUAGGUAGAUGCUAAAGAAAACCCUUAUGGCGAGGAUGACAAUAAGAGCCCAUUCCCCCUGCAGCCCA
rnacentral:sRNA from 1 species